rnacentral:rRNA from 1 species
UACGAAGGAUCCAAGCGUUGUCCGGAUUUACUGGGUUUAAAGGGAGCGUAGGCGGGUUAUUAAGUCAGUGGUGAAAGCUUGCAGCUUAACUGUAAAAUUGCCAUUGAAACUGAUAGUCUUGAAUAUGGUUGAGGUGGUUGGAAUAUAUCAUGUAGCGGUGAAAUGCUUAGAUAUGAUAUAGAACACCGAUUGCGAAGGCAGAUCACUAAACCAUUAUUGACGCUGAGGCUCGAAAGCGUGGGGAUCAAACAGG